rnacentral:rRNA from 1 species
CGGGUAGACCUCCCACCCUUGUGUAAUUAUACUUUGUUGCUUUGGCGAAUUGCGUGGCCUCUCGGGGUCUCGCCUCGAGCUUCACAGCCUGAGAGUCGUUCGCCAGAGGAUACCAAAACUCUGAAUAUUAAUGUCGUCUGAGUACUAUAUAAUAGUUAAAACUUUCAACAACGGAUCUCUUGGUUCUGGCAUCGAUGAAGAACGCAGCGAAAUGCGAUAAGUAAUGUGAAUUGCAGAAUUCAGUGAAUCAUCGAAUCUUUGAACGCACAUUGCGCCCCUUGGUAUUCCGGGGGGCAUGCCUGUUCGAGCGUCAUUUCAACCCUCAAGCUCAGCUUGGUAUUGGGCCCUGUCGGUAAAACGACAGGCCUUAAAAUCAGUGGCGGCGCCGUUGGGUCCUGAACGUAGUAAUAUAUUUCGUUACAGGUACUUGAUGUGCUUCUGCCAUUAAACCCCCAAUUUUCUAUGGUUGACCUCGGAUCAGGUAGGGAUACCCGCUGA